AACGUGGCCAGUUUGUAACUAGCUCCCCUCUGGCAAGGUGUCCUCCUGAUAAACACACAUAGUCUACUGAGAAUCAUACAUCAUACCAGGCAUCGUAGAGUGAAGUUCCCAGAUCUGGCUCAAUCUGAUGAAUCCACAAAUAUCUGGGAUGGCCCCAUCGGCGACACAGGAAAUUCCCUUUUCAUGGGAAUGAAAAUCACAGCUCCCACGCCCACAGAUUUCAGGGCCUUGGCCCUUCGAAAGGCUACAGAGACUAAUCAGCCUUGCAGCAAACGCAACGCUUUCCCCA